rnacentral:rRNA from 1 species
AUUGAACGCUGGCGGCAGGCCUAACACAUGCAAGUAGAGCGGAGCGGCGGACGGGUGAGUGAUGCCUAGGAAUCUGCCUGGUAGUGGGGGAGAACGUCCGGAAACGGGCGCUAAUACCGCAUACUAUCAGAUGAGCCUAGGUCGGAGUAGUUAGUUGGUGGGGUAACGGCGUACCAAGGCGACGAUCCGUAACUGGUCUGAGAGGAUGAUCAGGAACACUGGAACGGAGACACGGGCCGGACUCCUACGGGAGGCAGCAGUGGGGAAUAUUGGACAAGGGGCGAAAGCCUGAUCCAGCCCUGCCGCGUGUGUGAAGAAGGUCUUCUGAUUGUAAAGCACUUUAAGUUGCGAGUCGUGACCAGCAGAAUAAGCACCGGCUAACUUCGUGCCAGCAGCCGCGGUAAUUC